GCUGUUCUCGUUGGACACUCCUUCUGCUUUGUUGAAGUUCUUAAUAACGGUAGUUUUUUAUAUUAUUAAUUAUAAAAGUGUAAAAUUUAAAGCGGUUUCUUGACACAUCCCCGUACUAGAUUAAGAUUUGCUUUACGUUCGCUAAUGCCGGGGGAGUCUGAAUAUUCAUAAUUUAACCGGACAUCCUUUGUGAAUGGCCCCUAAGCUGUUUAACCAGAAAAUAUUAAAUAAACUCAACUACCUCACUUUGACGGCUAAAGUAAACUUUAAAAUCAACCAAGGUGGCGCCCAAUAACGCGUUGUGACGUCGUGUACAAGCAGGGCGCUACAAAACACAGUGUUUUUUAUAGCGCCCUGGUACAAGCGAAGAAUUGCGUGCCUUGUCAAUUAUUUUUUAAAAUAAAUUUUUAAUUAAGUUAUUUAAUUUUUUUU
rnacentral:lncRNA from 1 species